UCCUGGCUUGGUGAUAUAUGCCUUUAAUCCUAGCAGUUUCUUUUAUCACUUAUUUAUUUGGUUUUUCAAGACAAGAAUUUGUCUAUCUGUAGUCCUAGCUGUCCUGGAAAUCACUCUGUAAACCAGGCUAGCCUCAAAAUCAGACAUGCUUGCGCAACUCUGCCACCCAAAUUCUGGGAUUAAAGGCGUGGGCCACCAUCGCCUGGCUAAUUCUAGCAUUUAGAAGGCAAAAGCAGGUAGGUCUGAGCUCAAGACCAGCCUGGUCCAACCUAGUGAUUUCCAGGCCAAGACAUCUUUAGGAAACAAGAAACUAAAACCCACACUUGCAUGCUGACCACAAAUAAAUAAAUAAAACCUUAAAAUCAAAGUUAAGGUGAAUGUAAUCAGAACAUAUUAUUAAACAUAUAUAAAGCUGUCAAAAAACAAAUUGAAAAAUACAACAAAGAAAUUACAGGUUGGCUGGCCAAGUCGGUCUAUCCUUCCAGAAAAUAUUCGUGGGUUUCCCAAUGUGGCUAGCGCACAGCAAUUUCUUCCUGGGCCUAUCUGCGGCUCCUGAACCCCUGGCUUGCGGCUCAGGCUCCCCAAGUGGGGAGGGGAAGGGAGGGGGAGUGUAAAACAACUAGGUGCACCAGAGUUUUGUUUGAAACAGGAUCUCAGGCGGUAGCCCAGGCUGCCUUGGCCUUCGGGAUACUGAGACUGUAGGUGCUGCCACGCCUAGUCAGUGCACAUGCUCUAUGUCACAUCCUUUCGGUGUAAGCUCCAUCACCGGUUGUUUGAGGUAGCUGUUAAGUCUAAGGACGCACCUCCGCGAAACUUUGUAACCGCAGAGGUCCAGACAGGGACUCCAAGGGCAAUUAAGCACGCCUGAACCCAGCCCCGAUGGAGUCUUUAAUCGGCUGUGUGACCUUGGACACGCUCCACGCUCUCUCUGGGCUUCAGUUUCCGAAUCCGCACGUUGGAAGGUGAACCACGUGGCCCUCACGGUGCUGCUCAGCGCAGAGCCCGGCAGAGAGCAGACCUCGCCAUUUACGGCGGCUUCCUGUGGGCGCGGCACAGGGCUUUAACGGUCCCCCUCCCCGCACCCUCGCAACCCUCACUUUUAUGGCCCCGCCGCCGGGGACCGCACUACGAGGAGACCACUUGGAGCGGCUCGCGCGCGCCUCCGCCCCGCCCCGGAGGCGUCCCGUCGUGCCCCGCGCUAGACUCUCAGCAGCACGGGGCGACUCCCGCCUUUACGCCCGGCGACCCCGAACUCCUCGCCCCAGGUCUCCCGGCGCCCCGUCCUAUCAACGUCCAGUAUCCCAGCCAAUCGGGCGCGCUGCGAGUCUUACCUUCCGCCCGCCUCCUCCCCGCGCACAGCCGGUGUGAGCCCGAAGGCCUCUACCGGGAC
rnacentral:lncRNA from 1 species